rnacentral:rRNA from 1 species
AGGAGGAUAGCCUUAGAAUGAAGAUUAAUACUCCAUAGUAUUAUUGAUUGCAUCAAUUAAUAAUUAAGUUCGGCGGUAAAGAUGAGUAUGCGUUCUAUUAGCUAGAUGGUGUGGUAACGGCACACCAUGGCAACGAUAGAUAGGGGCCCUGAGAGGGGNNUCCCCNACACUGGUACUGAGACACGGACCAGACUCCUACGGGAGGCAGCAGUGAGGAAUAUUGGACAAUGGGCGCAAGCCUGAUCCAGCCAUGCCGCGUGCAGGAAGACUGNCCUAUGGGUUGUAAACUGCUUUUAUACAGGAAGAAACCGCUCUACGUGUAGAGUUCUGACGGUACUGUAAGAAUAAGGAU